CUACGGGUGGCAGCAGUGGGGAAUAUUGGUCAAUGGGCGAAAGCCUGAACCAGCAAUGCCGUGUGGGUGAUGAAGCUUUUAGGAGUGUAAAACCCUUUUAUGAGGGAAGAAAGUAAUAUGGUUAAUACCCAUGUUAUGUGACGGUACCUCAUGAAUAAGCCCCGGCUAACUCCGUGCCAGCAGCCGCGGUAACACGGAGGGGGCAAGCGUUGUUCGGAAUUACUGGGCGUAAAGGGCGUGUAGGCGGCUUGAAAGGUCAGAUGUGAAAUCCCCGGGCUCAACUCGGGAACUGCGUUUGAAACCAUCAAGCUUGAGUCUAGGAGAGGAAAGCGGAAUUCCUGGUGUAGCGGUGAAAUGCGUAGAUAUCAGGAGGAACACCGGUGGCGAAGGCGGCUUUCUGGACUAGUACUGACGCUGAGGCGCGAAAGCGUGGGGAGCGAACGGGAUUAGAUACCCUCGUAGUC
rnacentral:rRNA from 1 species